AAGUUGUUUCGGUUCAGAUCCAAUAGGAUCAAUUGAGUGGUAUGCUGCGUCAUGUAGAAAUGGAAAAUUUGGUUUCCAAAUCACGACAUCUCGAAUUUAGGUAACUCUAGAAUUCAAGUGCGCCACCGAAGUGGACAGAGUUUCAUGUAUGGACAGAUACCGGAAGGAGUCCAGUUGAAGAUUUGGAUUCCCGUCUUACCAGGGAAUAAAAUUUUGUUCAAGUUCCUCAUCAUGCUUUCUUUUUCUGAUAUAUCUAACAAUUAUCUGCUGAGUACCAUCUUCGAAGAGAGAGAGAGAGAGAGAGAGAGAGAAUGGAUACCUGAAGCCUUCUGGUUUGGUGGGGCAAUGAAACUUCGGAUGCACACUCACCCUCAGAAAAUCUCUCCUGGAAAACACCUUGUGGACCGAAGCAUUGAAGCUCGUCCCGCAUCUUAUGGGGUCCAACACGUGCUUCCCUUUGAACUCCAUCUUCUCUUCCUCGGUCA